rnacentral:lncRNA from 1 species
UUCUUUCAGAAGGAAAAGGAAAAAAGAAAAAGAAAGAAAAGAAAACAAGUCAUGAGUCUCGGAGAUGCUCCUUCCGCAUUAACCAGUUUAUCGACCUGGCUGUGUCCAACUGCAGGCGGCAGGAAAGAGGACGGAAAAGACAAGGCUGUACUCAGGAACCAGUUAAGCCAGCCGGGGGCCGCCCUUGUCCCAGAGGUUGAACCUCCAGAGCCAGACGCGAACCCCCAACCUCACUUGAUUAGAUCCCUCCAGGUUCUCUAGGCCCCAAGCAGAAGCAGCCUUCCCUACUCUAGUCUCCCGCUGGGAACAGCCUGGGCCUGGUCCUGAGAACCGAACCUCACGUCCGGACUCAGCAUCCUGGGCAGCCAAGCCCCGACGUGGCGCUGGUCCCCCAACAGGACCCAGCCAGUGGAGCCAAGCUCUGAACUGGACACGCGGGUCCGCCAGCAGCCGAACCUUUUCCAGGGAGUUUUAAUCCAAGAGAUUAGGUCAAAGUGACCGGCUCGCCCAGCAAGGAAAAGCAGGUGCCCUGGCAUUUGGUUUGGAAAAACCAUGCGCCCCGCACUAACGCACUGCACGCAGCUUCUCCAUCAUUUCUUCUUCAAUAUUUCCAGCUCACAAAGCACCUUGGAGACUCGCUGUGGACGCUCUCCGAAUGCGACCAGGGCUCAGGGCGUGUGCAGAAACGGUGUCCACCGAACACGCGUGGCGCACAUAGUGCGCGGCGAGCACGCACAGGGAGCCGCUACCCGAUGUGUGCCCAGGGCAAGAGGCCCGACAGGUUCAGGAGCCGCGUCUCGCACUCCACGAAACCCGGAGCCACCAGGCCCCCUUUCAGCCCUUUUCGCCAAGCCCCUCGGUGUGCGCACAUCUGUGUUGGGGAGUAGGGGUGGGGAGCCGCUGCAGCUCCUGGUCUCCCAGCCGAGGCCCACCUCCUGUCCUUUCCUCCCGAGCCCGGAGUCCCCCGGUGGCAGUGCAGCAGCAGCGCGGGCUCCGUAUGCUUGGCCUGGCAGACGCACCGGGAAGAAUUCGGUUUUGGCCAGGACUCCGGGCUCAUAACAUCUUAGGAGGCGCAGGCCAGGGGCGCGCAGAGCCACCCGGGAACGUCCCGCUGCUCUCUACGAGCCGUCAGGUCCUGGGAGACCGCCCCUGGGUCCGGACAAGUGACGGGGAAACUUUGGGGUAAACUUUAUCAACUUCGUUUUCAGCGCGGAAGAGGCCUCCUGCCCGAGUGGCUGCUGCGGCCGCGGGGCGCGGGCCAGGCCUGUGCACCGGGAGCCCAGGGAGAGGCGAGGUCUCCAGCCGGGCCUUCUGCUCCUGUGCUCUGCCUGUGCGACUCCCGCACCCAGCUUACCACACCGGGUGUCCGAGCGGCCUGUGGUGCUCAGCGCCCAAAACAAUGGCCUGGAUCGAAAACCAGCCCCUUAGAGCGAAUGAUUUCCUUCACCCUUUCCCACCCGCAAGCAGUUUCACUGCCCUCACUGCCUUUGUGUUUCUCUGUCCAUCGGCCUACCCCUCGCACUUUCUGAGUGUUCGAUUUCUAGUUCAUUCAUUUUUCUCAGUCCUCCGCUCCCUGAUUCCUUCUGUUUUGUACUAUUUCUCAGGGCCACGGUUUAGUUCACUUUUCUCAGUUCUACUCCCUCCCUCUCCUCUUAUUUUAUGUUCCUUUAUUCUUCUCCCUGGUUGCAACGGUGUCCUUUUCCCUCCCUCCCUCCCUCCCUCCCUCCCUCCCUUCCUUCCUUCCUUCCUUCCUUCCUUCCUUCCUUCCUUCCUUCCUUCCUUCCUUCCUUCCUCCCUCUCUCCCCUCUUUCAUGCUAACCCUCCCUCAAGUCUUUCCUGGAUUUCCUAGUCUUUCUCAGGCUCUCCUCUCCUCUUCUCUCCAGGAUCUGUCCCCCUCCCCCCGCGGAUCGGCCUCCCUGUGCCCCCUCCGAAUCCAUCUUGGGAGAUGAAUAUGUUGCCUUAUUGGAUGCCGAGGCCAGAGCCGGGUGAUGGGGCUCGGCCAGCGUGGCGCAUUUUCUUCAUGCAUAUUGAGGAUAUGGUAAUGAGAGCGUUUGCAUUGUUGCAUGGAAAUGCUGCGUUUCCUGCAGCAGUUUGGGGGUGGUGGGGUGGUGGUGGUACCGGCCCAAGACAGCCCCGAAGUGGGCGC